UGGAUCUCGGCAUGAUGGCUAGCUUUUGAGGAUCUUUUAGUCUACUUCACUUUGUCAGGCAGGUCCUAUUUAAGUGAUUUCUUGAUUGCGAACAGGUAUGGCAGUAAUCAGGCCUGGGUGUGGCCACAGAAAUUGAAAUUGCGUGUGAUAAACCAGUUAAGUUAUGUUUUAACAGGGGGGCAAGCACUUUUUAAAAUAUUUAAAUUUGUUUGAUGUUCUGAACAGUAAAGUGUGACAAAUAUGCAAUAACAUAAGAAAUCCGGAGGGUGGCCAACACUUUUUCACACCACUGCAAAUUGUCUCAUUUGCAUGCAUUAGCAGCAUGUUGUCAAAGCUUUACCAAUCAUCAGCCUCCACCCCCAGCUACACCUGUCUAGAUCUGUUUACAGGAUAUUGUGAUAUGAUAACUUGCAUGCUCAACGUAACAUGUGUUUUAGCAAUAUAACGUCUUCAUGUAUGCUUUACUACAGCAGCAGCGUAACUAGAACUAGUUCUGCAUGGGCCAAAUAUUAUGACCAUUAAAGGGCACCUAUAAUGCAUUUUUUUGGACAUACAUACCAUUUGUGUGGCAAUGUGAGUCUGUAAAGUUGUGCCAAUAGACGAUAUACUAUGGUCUUUGUUCACUAAUCUGUCAAAAAAAAAUCUCUUUUCCCAAAUAAACUGUACUAAACUGUAUUUUUGGAUCAUUAGCUUUUCCUUGGUAACUUCAAAUUCAUUUCAUUGAGCGAUGGAUCAUUACUUCCCAGUUCGAGUGAUGCUUAACUUUUGUUCUCUCUCUCUCUCUCUCUCUCUCUCUCUCUCUCUCUCUCUCUCUCUCUCUCUCUCUCUUUCUUUCUUUACUUGAGAAACAGACCCCCUUUCCUUUUUACAGGAGAUCUUCGGCUGCUUAUAUAGGGCCCCUAUUUCUCCAGAAGUUGCGGCCAAGAGGAGGCUGGAAUAGCUCUCUUGCAGUGCUUUUGCUGGCAGGAUUGCAUGAAACAGGACGUUUUGUCCAGCACGGACAUACCUGCGUGUGUUUAAUGUGGAAUACGUGUGUGACAGAUGGUUCAGUGGUUUAAUUCGAAACACUUGAAAAUCAGGGGUCUUUCACGUAACAAGGGUGAGCUAUUGAUCGAGUUUACACGCGUCAUCUUGGCACAAUGUUGUACAGUCAGGCAAGUGCCAAAGUCAAAACGCACUGGACAUCGUCACUGCUGUAGAGGGACGUGACUGUAUGUGUGUGUCAUACCAUUUGCUAUAGUGAGUAUGAACUUGCCAGGCUGUAUCUACCUGACUUUACCUUCCUAUUAACCACAUUUUUUUUUGCACUUAUGUGUCCGAUUAUUUUUGGCACUUUAAAUAAAUGACUAUUCCGAUUGUUUAUAAAAAUAGGAGCGAUCUUGUAGAUAUUUCUGUGCCAGAGAGACUACAAAUGACAAAGCACACAGCCUAUCACUAUGGCAACUGUUUGGUUCUGAUGAGAAAUCUGGAGAAUUUUACUGUAUGUGA